AGUGAACGCUGGCGGUAGGCCUAACACAUGCAAGUCGAACGGCAGCACAGGAGAGCUUGCUCUCUGGGUGGCGAGUGGCGGACGGGUGAGGAAUACAUCGGAAUCUACUCUGUCGUGGGGGAUAACGUAGGGAAACUUACGCCAAUACCGCAUACGACCUACGGGUGAAAGCAGGGGACCUUCGGGCCUUGCGCGAUUGAAUGAGCCGAUGUAGGAUUAGCUAGUUGGCGGGGUAAAGGCCCACCAAGGCGACGAUCCGUAGCUGGUCUGAGAGGAUGAUCAGCCACACUGGAACUGAGACACGGUCCAGACUCCUACGGGAGGCAGCAGUGGGGAAUAUUGGACAAUGGGCGCAAGCCUGAUCCAGCCAUACCGCGUGGGUGAAGAAGGCCUUCGGGUUGUAAAGCCCUUUUGUUGGGAAAGAAAUCCAGCUGGCUAAUACCCGGUUGGGAUGACGGUACCCAAAGAAUAAGCACCGGCUAACUUCGUGCCAGCCGCCGCCGUAA
rnacentral:rRNA from 1 species